AGUGGGGAAUAUUGUACAAUGGGCGCAAGCCUGAUGCAGCCAUGCCGCGUGUGUGAAGAAGGCCUUCGGGUUGUAAAGCACUUUCAGUAAGGAGGAGAGGUUGGAUGUUAAUAGCAUUCAGCUGUGACGUUACUUACAGAAGAAGCACCGGCUAACUCCGUGCCAGCAGCCGCGGUAAUACGGAGGGUGCGAGCGUUAAUCGGAAUUACUGGGCGUAAAGCGUACGCAGGCGGUUUGUUAAGCGAGAUGUGAAAGCCCCGGGCUCAACCUGGGAACUGCAUUUCGAACUGGCAAACUAGAGUGUGAUAGAGGGUGGUAGAAUUUCAGGUGUAGCGGUGAAAUGCGUAGAGAUCUGAAGGAAUACCGAUGGCGAAGGCAGCCACCUGGGUCAACACUGACGCUCAUGUACGAAAGCGUGGGGAGCAAACAGGAUUAGAUACCCUGGUAGUCCACGCCGUAAACGAUGUCUACUAGAAGCUCGGUUCCUCGGAACUGUUUUUCAAAGCUAACGCAUUAAGUAGACCGCCUGGGGAGUACGGCCGCAAGGUUA
rnacentral:rRNA from 1 species